UCUAAUAUGACAGAAUUAAUGUAAUGAAUUUAAGCUUCAUUUAUAAAGAUUUUUAAUCUUUUAUUAGAA
rnacentral:tRNA from 1 species